rnacentral:rRNA from 1 species
GACGAACGCUGGCGGCGUGCUUAACACAUGCAAGUCGAACGGAAAGGCCCUGCUUUUGUGGGGUGCUCGAGUGGCGAACGGGUGAGUAACACGUGAGUAACCUGCCCUUGACUUUGGGAUAACUUCAGGAAACUGGGGCUAAUACCGGAUAGGAGCUCCUGCUGCAUGGUGGGGGUUGGAAAGUUUCGGCGGUUGGGGAUGGACUCGCGGCUCAUCAGCUUGUUGGUGGGGUAGUGGCUUACCAAGUCUUUGACGGGUAGCCGGCCUGAGAGGGUGACCGGCGUCAAUGGGACUGAGAUACGGCCCAGACUCCUACGGGAGGCAGCAGUGGGGAAUAUUGCGAAAUGGGCGGAAGCCUGAUGCAGCAACGCCGCGUGCGGGAAGACGGCCUGCGGGUUGUAAACCGCGUGAGCCUGUGACGAAGCGUGAGUGACGGUAAUGGGUAAAGAAGCACCGGCUAACUACGUG